CCGAAGGUCGAAGGAAGAAAUUCAUUCGUGAAUCACCAUUGACAGAAUUGUGUAUGUUAGACAAUAUAUAUAUGGAACUGAUUAUUCUAUUAAUUUAGGAUAAUUGGAUUUAUUUUCUUUUUAUUGCUACAUAUCUAUUUUGAUUCUGAUAGUGAACACGUGCAUUUUUCUUCUGGUAGGACGUCGCGAUCCGUUAGGAUAAAUUUUUAUCGGUCUAUGAUAUAUGGUUAUAGUUCAUUGAUACAUAUAUAAUUUUUAUUGUAUAUGAUAAUAUUAAUGAAUCUAUAUAUUCUGGCUGAUUUACCUGACGGUAUAGUGAAUGGUUAAGGGUCGCUUGCUAUAUAGCGUUAGAGGUUAGACAAGUGUAGUAAUUGUUAAAAAACAUUAUUAUUAUUAUUUUUAUAAUGAUAAUGAUAGUGUUGGUCGGUAAUCGGUAUUUAUAUCAAUUCCGAGCUAUUAUUAUACUGUUGGUCUAGCAUAUCUCUGACUGACCUUAUUAUUUUUUUUUAAAAAGUAAUACCAAUCAGCGACGCUAUAGCUUUGGGUACUUUCAGGACCCGUCUUGAAACACGGACCAAGGAGUCUAGCAUGUUCGCAAGCCAUUGGGAUUUUUUUUAAACCUAUAGGCAAAAUGAAAGUAAAAUUAAUCAUCAAUUCUUUUUUUUGAGAAUUGAUGAUAGGGAAGAUGAAUAAUGAUAUUUCGUAAAGUUUUUUUUUUAAUUUUAUGAAACAUUAUUUCGCAUUCCCGGGGCGUUUAUAUUUCAUUCAUUAUGAAUGAGAUUAUGCGCACCAAGAGUGUACACGCUGGGACCCGAAAGAUGGUGAACUAUGCCUGGUCAGGACGAAGUCAGGGGAAACCCUGAUGGAGGUCCGUAGCGAUUCUGACGUGCAAAUCGAUCGUCGGAACUGGGUAUAGGGGCGAAAGAC
rnacentral:rRNA from 1 species